rnacentral:rRNA from 16 species
UCGAGAGACUCUGCGCCGAAAAUGUCCGGGGCUAAAGUGUAAAACCGAAGUCGUGUCAUAUGCAGCAAUGUAUAUGGGUAGGGGAGCGUUCUCAUCGGGCUGAAGCAGUACCGUAAGGAGUUGUGGACUGAUGAGAAGUGAGAAUGUCGGUAUGAGUAGCGAAAAGAAUGGUGAGAAUCCAUUCCACCGAAAGCCUAAGGGUUCCUGGGCAACGAUCGUCGACCCAGGGUAAGUCGGGACCUAAUCCGAGGCGGAGACGCGUAGGAGAUGGACAACAGGUUGAAAAUCCUGUACCGCAGGAGUCUGUUUGAGCGAAGGAGUGACACAGAAAGGAAUGCGCGCGUGCGAUUGGAAGAGCACGUCCAAGCUGGUAGGUUGUGUGGCAGGCAAAUCCGC